rnacentral:rRNA from 1 species
UACGUAGGGUGCGCGCGUUAAUCGGAAUUACUGGGCGUAAAGCGUGCGCAGGCGGCUUGCUAAGACAGGUGUGAAAGCCCCGAGCUUAACUUGGGAAUGGCGCUUGUGACUGGCAGGCUGGAGUGUGGCAGAGGGAGGUGGAAUUCCACGUGUAGCAGUGAAAUGCGUAGAGAUGUGGAGGAACACCGAUGGCGAAGGCAGCCUCCUGGGCCAACACUGACGCUCAUGCACGAAAGCGUGGGGAGCAAACAGG